rnacentral:rRNA from 1 species
UACGUAGGGGGCAAGCGUUGUCCGGAAUCAUUGGGCGUAAAGCGCGCGUAGGCGGCCAGAUAAGUCCGGUGUGAAAGUCACAGGCUCAACCUGUGAAUGCCGCUGGAAACUGUCUGGCUUGAGUCCGGAAGGGGCGAGUGGAAUUCCUGGUGUAGCGGUGAAAUGCGCAGAUAUCAGGAGGAACACCAAUGGCGAAGGCAGCUCGCUGGAACGGUACUGACGCUGAGGAGCGAAAGCGUGGGGAGCGAACAGG